rnacentral:rRNA from 1 species
CGGUGUUUAACUGGCGUGAUGUGGGACGUCCUACCGGUGGGCUUAGCCUCGCGAGGGGCGGCCCAACUAAUAUCCCGUCGCGGUGCUCUUUACUGAGUGUCGAGUCGGGCCGGUACGUUUACUUUGAACAAAUUAGAGUGCUUAAAGCAGGCUAUCCUCGCCUGAAUACUGCGUGCAUGGAAUAAUGGAAUAGGACCUCGGUUCUAUUUUGUUGGUUUUCGGAACCCCGAGGUAAUGAUUAAUAGGGACAGAUGGGGGCAUUCGUAUUGCGACGUUAGAGGUGAAAUUCUUGGAUCGUCGCAAGACGGACAGAAGCGAAAGCAUUUGCCAAAAAUGUUUUCAUUAAUCAAGAACGAAAGUUAGAGGUUCGAAGGCGAUCAGAUACCGCCCUAGUUCUAACCAUAAACGAUGCCAGCUAGCGAUCCGCCGAAGUUCCUCCGAUGACUCGGCGGGCAGCUUCCGGGAAACCAAAGCUUUUGGGUUCCGGGGGAAGUAUGGUUGCAAAGCUGAAACUUAAAGGAAUUGACGGAAGGGCACCACCAGGAGUGGAGCCUGCGGCUUAAUUUGACUCCACACGGGAAACCUCACCAGGCCCAGACACCGGAAGGAUUGACAGAUUGAUAGCUCUUUCUUGAUUCGGUGGGUGGUGGUGCAUGGGCCGUUCUUAGUUGGUGGAGCGAUUUGUCUGGUUAAUUCCGAUAACGAACGAGACUCUAGCCUGCUAAAUAGGCGUACCUUAUGGUAUCGCGAAGGCCCCCGGCUUCGGCCGGUGGGUUUUUACUACCAACGUACAAACAAAUCUUCUUAGAGGGACAGGCGG